AAAAAGUAUUGUCUUAGUAGGCUGUAGUCUCUGAUCUUUUUGACUGUAUGCUUAUGUUAAUUUUGGCAGCUUACCUUUCUCCAACUGAAGAUGAUGCCAGGAGACUACAGCCCAGAAGGAUAAUUGUCUAUUUUUCCUAUUUGGAUAUAAUUAUAAAUUGUUGUGUAAGUGAGUUGAGUGUUAGGGGCCAAUGUUGUGGAUUUACGUGGCUUCUGAAAAUUUAAAUCUUGUUUUGAAUUUGCUUGUGCUAUAUAUUUAUGAUGAAAUCAUGCU
rnacentral:lncRNA from 1 species